CGCUGGCGGCAGGCCUAACACAUGCAAGUCGAGCGGUAGAGAGGUGCUUGCACCUCUUGAGAGCGGCGGACGGGAGAGUAAUGCCUAGGAAUCUGCCUGGUAGUGGGGGAUAACGCUCGGAAACGGACGCUAAUACCGCAUACGUCCUACGGGAGAAAGCAGGGGACCUUCGGGCCUUGCGCUAUCAGAUGAGCCUAGGUCGGAUUAGCUAGUUGGUGGGGUAAUGGCUCACCAAGGCGACGAUCCGUAACUGGUCUGAGAGGAUGAUCAGUCACACUGGAACUGAGACACGGUCCAGACUCCUACGGGAGGCAGCAGUGGGGAAUAUUGGACAAUGGGCGAAAGCCUGAUCCAGCCAUGCCGCGUGUGUGAAGAAGGUCUUCGGAUUGUAAAGCACUUUAAGUUGGGAGGAAGGGCAUUAACCUAAUACGUUAGUGUUUUGACGUUACCGACAGAAUAAGCACCGGCU
rnacentral:rRNA from 1 species